GAAAGCAUUGCCUACAGACUGUAACUGCCCGCUAUUGACUCUGUUGCUUCAUGAUGAAUGCUGGAUGAAACAUCUUCAAAUUCUACCUGAUUUAUGUAUGAUGUCAACAUGACUUAAGGCCUUACGGGAUCAUCCCCAGCACUGUGAAACUGGAGGAAGAAGCAGCAUUCAAGUGAGUGAAUGUGUAUUUGGACUGAGCAAAGGGAAUAUUCUUCAAGAGAGAUUCAAAAGGCUUCUGAACGAGAUGAGUCAUAAAGGACAGCCAAGGCCUUAUCCAGGUGAGCAAUUUCUAGAAGGUGCAGCAAAACCUGGAGGCAUCAGAGAGCAGAACACAACUGCAGAACAGAGGACCCCAAGUGGCAGAGGCAAAGAAGUGAAAUAAUAAUUCAACUUAAAAAAAAUCUGGCCUAAUGACAACUUCAGUGGAUGGAUCACAUUACCUUGAUGCAUUCUUAUCAAUGUAAGUAUUGACAUGAAACAGAACAAUUCUUCUCCCAUGAAACAGUCUAUCUGUUGAUGCAAUUAUGUCAAGAGCAAUCCCUUAAAAGCAAGUUCUAAAACCUCAACAAAUGAAGCAGCCAUUAUUAAAGUCAGAGGAGUUGAGCAAAACUCCAAUCAGCUGAGGGAAAAUAACUCUAAAGUAAAAUUUGAAAACCAGUGGAGUUUGCAUUUACGGUUGACACUUGAACAACACGGGUUUGAACUACACAAGUUCACUUAUACGUGGACUUUCUUCUGCCUCUGCCACUCCUAAAACAGCAAGACCAAUCCCUCCUCCUCCUCCUCCUCCUCAGCCUACUCAACAUGAUGGACAAUGAGGAUGAAGACCUUUAUGAUGAUCCACUUCCAUGUAAUGAAUAGUAAAUAUAUUUUCCCUUCCCCAUGAUUUUCGUAACUUACUUUAUUGUAAGAAUACAUAUAUAACAUACAUAACAUACAAAAUAUGUGCCAAUCGACUGUUUUUGUUGUUGAUAAGGCUUCCGGUGAAC
rnacentral:lncRNA from 1 species